rnacentral:rRNA from 1 species
GACGAACGCUGGCGGCGUGCCUAACACAUGCAUGUCGAACGGACCUUCUGAUCUUUUGGUUGGUUGGUUAGUGGCGAACGGGUGAGUAACACGUGAGUAACCUGCCCUUCUCUUCGGGAUAACUGUCGGAAACGGUGGCUAAUACCGGAUAUUCAUAUGCUGUCGCAUGGUGGUGUGUGGAAAGAUUUUUUGGUGGGGGAUGGACUCGCGGCCUAUCAGCUUGUUGGUGAGGUAGUGGCUUACCAAGGCUUUGACGGGUAGCCGGCCUGAGAGGGCGACCGGCCACACUGGGACUGAGAUACGGCCCAGACUCCUACGGGAGGCAGCAGUGGGGAAUAUUGCACAAUGGGCGGAAGCCUGAUGCAGCGACGCCGUGUGCGGGAUGACGGCCUUCGGGUUGUAAACCGCUUUCAACUGUGACGAAUUUGACGGUAGCAGUAGAAGAAGCACCGGCUAACUACGUGCCAGCCGCCGCCGUAACAC